UUUGGGGGAACAAAGUGGAAUUAACCCGUCCGAUAUGUACAUACUUCAUUAAUUCUUUGAGGUGGUAUUUUCCACUGUAAUCUACUCUUUUGAUCGUGUAUACUACAUAAAUCCCUUUCUUUUUCACUAGAUUGUUUGAGAAAAUAAUCAGGUAGAUCAUGUACAAUUAUUGUUUCUUUCUGGCCACCCUGUACAAUAUGUACCUAAAUAGUAGUAGAUACUGUUGUCACCGUUGGCACGAGGAAGAAAAUGAAAAUGCAUACAGUUGAGCAUAGGUGAAGCUCCCACCACAUGGAGUCCUCUGUGCCCCAAAGCAGGUGAAAACGGGUAAAGCCUAUGGUGGGGAGAUGGGACCUUAUCUACUACUUGUGUCCAGAUUGCCAAUGUGGACAAAGCCUUGCAGGGUACGUACCUGCAGCAGGAAGCGCUGCUGACAGAAUUAUGGGUAGAAGUUGGUUGAAUCAAGAUGGCGUAAGGAUGCUACUAGUAGUAGAAGUAACUAAGAUGAAUCUGCAGCAGGGCAAACUGAAACUGCCCGUUUUACAGUACCAUGGUGUAGUUAGCAGCUCAAUAAAAUGUAGAAAUAGCCCUUUUCAGUUUUCAUCAUUGUACCUUUGCAUAAUAUGUGAGUGAGUUUAAUUGAAAUUUGACAAAAUCCAAUGCCCUGUAUUUGUUA